rnacentral:rRNA from 1 species
CAGUCUGCAACUCGAGUGCAUGAAGCUGGAAUCGCUAGUAAUCGCGAAUCAGAAUGUCGCGGUGAAUACGUUCCCGGGUCUUGUACACACCGCCCGUCACACCAUGGGAGCCGACAACGCCCGAAGUCAGUGACCUAACCGAGAGGGAGGAGCUGCCGAAGGCGGGGUUGGUAACUGGGUGAAGUCGUAACAAGGUAAC